GAUGAACGCUAGCGACAGGCUUAACACAUGCAAGUCGAGGGGUAACAGGGUAGCAAUACCGCUGACGACCGGCGCACGGGUGAGUAACGCGUAUGCAACCUGCCUAUAACUGGGGAAUAGCUCCCUGAAAGGGGAAUUAACACCGCAUAACACUAUUGAUUCGCAUGGAUUGGUAGUUAAAUGUAGCGAUACAGGUUAUAGAUGGGCAUGCGUGACAUUAGCUAGUUGGUGAGGUAACGGCUCACCAAGGCUACGAUGUCUAGGGGUUCUGAGAGGAAGGUCCCCCACACUGGUACUGAGACACGGACCAGACUCCUACGGGAGGCAGCAGUGAGGAAUAUUGGUCAAUGGGCGCAAGCCUGAACCAGCCAUGUCGCGUGCAGGAAGACUGCCCUAUGGGUUGUAAACUGCUUUUAUAGUAGAAGAAACACAUCUACGCGUAGAUGUCUGCCAGUAUACUAUGAAUAAGCAUCGG
rnacentral:rRNA from 1 species